CGGAUGAAUGAUCGAAAGUAAAAUCCUUCUUAGACCGUUAUGUGCGCUGGAACAUACGUAAAAAGCCUACGAUUGCGCGUCGUGCGCAUCUCUGUUCUGCUCUGACAAUCGUGCAGUCACGCGCACAUCUCUAAUUGGAUGCCAAAGAGAGACAGAAACAGAGCGAGAGAGAGAUCUAAACAGCUAAUCAAUGGAGAGAAAUGAAGCCUCUCUACGAGUAUACAAGUGUUUAUAUGCAAUGCCUAUACAAGUAUAUGGUUUAAGUAUACAUAUAUAGAUUUUGUGGUUACAUAAACAAUGCCAAACGUUUGCCAAACGUCAGUGGCAGUUACAGAUUACAGAUUAGGCCUUGAUCAAGGGCGGAUGGAGGCCCUGGCCUGCCCUGCCCGUGCACAGAGGAUAAAAAACGGAAAAAAAGAGAAGAUGAUCGUGCUUGGCCUUGUUUCACUGCCUGGUGGAGUCACAAUAUUUGCGCAUCAAUUACGGACACUAUUUGUUCCUCGUGAAUGACGAUGGGGGGCUUAUGGAGUAAAAGCGCCACUGAUAAAACGAACCACUGCACCCACCACUCGGCUGGGACCAAGGUCAAGAUGCACGCGUCCUUGGCGACCAGGAGAGCUGUCCCCAGUGUCUUUCAUGUUCUUUUCUGAAAUUGCUCAAGUUUGCUUUUGCUUAAAGUUGGUUUCAAUUCGGAAUUGCCUUUUAUCUUAUCGAUAACUGGGCGAAAGUCUUAAGAGGCGUUUUAGAUAAACAAUGGGUCAUACGCUGCCAUACCCGAUACGAUUAGUGUGCGGUUCGGUUAGUGACUGCUGACUGAGAUUCAAUAAGAGUAUAUGCUACAACAAUAUUAAAAUGCUUCCCCCUAUGAUGCUCUCUCUCUCCAGCAGGGAGGCAGAUGCAUCCAGCAGCCCGCCAUUGGAACAAUGGCAAGCAAACACACAUUAAAGUGAAACAAACUUAAUUUGUGGGGAGGCCUCUCUCACAUUGCACAAGCCCCACAGCAGCAGCAGUAGAGGUGGGCGGAGGAUGGGGGAGGCGUCUCAAUGUGUCGCCAAAGCAGAAAUGGGGGGUGGACUGCUGCUGUGUGCGUGGUGUGUGUGUAUGUGCAUUAAUAGUUUAAGUAUUUUGUGUUCCAUGCACAGAAAAUAAAUAAUACAUGUACAAGCGGAAUGGAAAGAGACUGGAAAUUGGCCUUGGUGCUUCCCCAGGGGUGAGGAUCCACCAUGGAAUGCGCGGACUUCCUCAGCUGCUGCUCCUUCUGCUGCAGGACUUACGUUUCGUGCAGGGGCUGGUGUCUGUCGUCUGCUUGUCCUGUCUGUGCGCCUGCGGGAGCGGGCGCGUGUUUGUGUGGGGAGGGCGGCAGACUAGCGGGUAGCCGCCGGUUUGCGAAUUGGUUGGGUAUUGACGCCUGGGAUUGCGAAUUCCACACGCACGCCUUUUGUUUAAA